rnacentral:rRNA from 1 species
GCUUCUGCUCUUUGGCGUAGUGCGCUGGACUGUGGCCCUACACUUACAUUACAGCAAUUGCUGCUGUGAUUUGUGUUUGGCCCAAAUGAGUUUGCCGACCAGUCUUGUAUAGCAAUAUAUUUAUUAUAUUAACACAAGGCAGCGCUGUACUAUGCUAAUCUUAGCUGUGAGUCUUGCGUGGGUCGUCUCUGGUAGGACGGAGCUUGCCUCUGACUCGUAGGAGAAUGACUCAACUAGUGCAGGGCGUGCAGCAUUUGAGGUGAAAGUACGCGUGGUUGCGAAUCUGCAGGACUUUUGUAGCAGUAGUGAGGAACUAGGGUACUCACUGCUGCUGUAAGGAGGACCUUCCUUCCGGAUCUCAGCUUAAGUAAGAAUACCCGCUGAAUUUAAGCAUAUAACUAAGCGGAGGAAAAGAAACUAACCAGGAUUCCCCCAGUAAGGGCGACUGAAGCGGGAAGAGCUCAACUUGUGAAUCUGCGCCUUGGCGCCGAAUUGUGGUUUGUUCGUGCUAUGUGGCUCGGGCAAAGUCCCUUGGAAAAGGGCAGCUGAGAGGGUGAGACUCCCGUCCGCCCGAGCCUCGGAUGCGAGCAUGUUGGAGUCGAGUUGUUUGGGAUUGCAGCUCAAAGCGGGUGGUAAAUUCCAUCUAAAGCUAAAUAUUGGUGGGAGACCGAUAGCGUACAAGUACCGUGAGG